GUUAUCGCAUAACUCCGAGCUUGUUUACCUAAGUUGAAAAAUAAGGAAACAAUGCCAGCAAAUAUAAUUGCUCAGGGAUAAUAUUGGAAACGACUUAUCCUUUCUUAUUUAAAAAGGUGUCUAAUGCAAAGAUCUA
rnacentral:ncRNA from 2 species